AUCCGUCUGACGAGUUCCAAAUAGGAUGAAACGCUCGUCCUGGAU
rfam:Schistosoma mattheei strain Denwood, Zambia genome assembly, scaffold: SMTD_scaffold0019995